rnacentral:rRNA from 1 species
AGCGAACGCUGGCGGCAGGCUUAACACAUGCAAGUCGAGCGGGCACUUUCGGGUGUCAGCGGCGGACGGGUAAGUAACGCGUGGGAACGUGCCCUCUGGUUCGGAAUAACUCAGGGAAACUUGAGCUAAUACCGGAUACGCCCUUUUGGGGAAAGGCUUGCUGCCGGAGGAUCGGCCCGCGUCUGAUUAGCUAGUUGGUGAGGUAACGGCUCACCAAGGCGACGAUCAGUAGCUGGUCUGAGAGGAUGAUCAGCCACACUGGGACUGAGACACGGCCCAGACUCCUACGGGAGGCAGCAGUGGGGAAUAUUGGACAAUGGGCGCAAGCCUGAUCCAGCCAUGCCGCGUGAGUGAUGAAGGCCUUAGGGUUGUAAAGCUCUUUUAUCCGGGACGAUAAUGACGGUACCGGAGGAAUAAGCCCCGGCUAACUUCGUG